AUGGCUGGUUGGAGGGGCAAACUCCUCUCCUAUGCUGCUAGACUGACCUUGAUCAAGACUUGCUUAGCCAACAUCCCCAUAUACCUACUCUCUUUUUUCAAAUUCCCUAAAUGGGCUCUUGACAUGAUCAACAGUCAGAUGGCCAAUUGUUUGUGGAAUGACUUUGAAGGGAAUAGGAAAAUCCACCUUGCCAAUUGGCAUCUAGUUUGUAUGAGCAAGAAACAUGGGGGUUUAGGAGUGCCUAACAUCAAAGAUGUUAACCUCUGCCUACUUGGAAGCUGGGUGAAAAGAUACAUCAAAGAUGAGGGCAAGCUUUGGGAACAAAUAGUAGAUAGGAAAUACAUCAACAACUCCCCCAAUAUCUUUGCUAGCAAAACCCAUCACCUCUCUAGAUUUUGGCAAGGUGUCAUGUGGGCCGCUAAGGCUUCGAAGUUUGGAUACAAAUGGGUGGUGGGUGAUGGGAAAAAGAUCAGAUUCUGGGAAGAUAUCUGGUUUGGUACAUCACCCCUCUCAGUCCAAUUCUGGCCUCUUUACUCCAUAUGCCACCAACAAUGCUCAACCAUAGCUGAGAUCUGA
rnacentral:rRNA from 1 species